UUCUGCCUACAAAAAAAUAAAAGGAUGUAAAAGAAAAGAAAAGAAAGAAAAAAUUGUAAAUUAGCUGCUGCUGGUCUUGCCAUCCUUCACUAUCCAAUUCAUUGCCAAGCACUCGGUAACAGAAACUGAGAAUGAGAACAAACGGGAGGCUGUGGCUAUAACCUCUCAGUGCAACCUCUGCAGAUGCUGGACAGCCACCUCUUUUGAUGCCUGGGGGAUCAGCCUGAUUGCAACAUGCGCUGGAUGAAAUGACACGGCACAUAUGGGACUGGCAGCAUUCAGGACCCCUGUGCUCUGAGGACUGCCCGAUCUUACUGUAUGGCAUGAGAAGAAGACAUCACUCUGCAGCUAAUGUAAAUUCUCCCAGCCUCAGUGAAAUCAGCAGUGAUGACAAACUACACUUGCUGAAGAAUUGCCUGGAGUCCCAUUGUGUGUUUGCUCUGGAUGAUUAUUUUACAGGAGAUAUCCAAACAAUUUUUUUAUUUAUAUGUCUGAUUGCAUGGUACACUUAAGCCAAAUAUUUAACUGGUCUAAACAGAUAAAAUGUCAUUAAUUUAAAUCUAUAUGACUUAUGCCUGCCUGAGAAUAUGGCCAUCAUGCCUGCCAUUUUUCUAUGAAAUUCAGAGGGUUCCUGGCUUGAAGCUUAUAUUUAAACAUUCCAGGUAACCACAUCACCUAAUUUUUCAUCUGAUCAACACAACUGCGUAUACACCACCAAAUUUGAAGCUGUACAUGAAAGGUAAAGCCUUCUAAAUAUCACUCUCCAUAUUCCUGCUUAAUAACAUUUCAAUGUUUUCUUCCACAAAAAAAAAAAAAAAAAAAAAAAGGAGGGGGAAGGGGAAGUAAGGAAAAGAAACAAGAAAACAAAAAAAAAGAAAUCAAUUAACAAACAUUACCAUCUGGGUCUGUGUGUGACUGGAGACGAUUCAGAGUUAGAUCUCAUCAGGAUGACCUGAAAUGCUUCUGUGGAAAGACACCUCCCUUUGGGCUGGGACAGAGGGCCAUGAAACACAGGACCAAAUCCCCAAAUCCCACCUAACUCUCCUGAUAGUUUUCCCAUCUCUAUGCAGUCCCAUUGGCAGCUGCUUGUUUGCCACAGAUAUUUGUACAUAACUCACUAAAAGGAAUGUACGGGAUCAUGUGAUGGAUCAUACAUCGUUAGGUUUUUAUUGCAAUGGUAUUUUAAAUAUUUGUGAUCUGGAUUUUGCCCUCCACCCUGCCCAGGGAAAUGGAAAUCUAUGGGGAGAAGAUAGGAUUUCAGAAAGAUUAGUUUGAAUUUUGCUUUGCUUAUUUUCUCCUGACAGAACAUAACAAAAAUUCAACAUUUGAAUUUGCCAUGAAAUAGCCAUAUUCUGCAAUAUGGAAAUUUCUGUGGUUAAGUAUAUCAGUAUACCUUCUCUUUGUAUUCCAGAAUUCUGACCCCCCAAUUAUGAAAAUAUAUGUUAUACACCCCUCCUAAAUUUUGCUUUCAUCCUGUCAGAGACAGAAAAAUAAUGUCUGACUAUCAAUACUAAUUAGUGGGAAAGCUAUUUUGGGGGCACAUCUUUUUGUUUAGAUAAAGGAGUACUGUGAAAGACACAAGCAGUGUAACUGUGGGUUAGCUUUUAUCACAACUGUGCUGUCUGGACUUGGCUGACAUAAUGAAACAUUGCUAUGGCAUUCCUGUGUACUUUCAAAUGCCUUUAAUUAGAGCUCAACUGUGGCACUUACACAGCUUGGGGAUGCUAACUCUGGUUUUAAAAUACCUAUUUGGAGAAAAAACACAUUUACAUAAAAGCCCAUGAUCAGGUUUAUUGUGAAAGAAAAGCCUCUUUCUUUAAAUCAUUAAAUACAGACAGAACCUCCACAUGACCCAACAGUGAAUUAAGUUACUUAUCUUGGAUUGUAUGCCAGAUAUAGAUUGCUGCAACCAGUAAAAUUUAAAGUCAAAGUCUGAAAUGCUUCAUUUUGCAAAUGUAACUUAAAAAUUGUAAGUCAUUUUAUAUGGGGUUUAUAAGCAGAGUGUUUCCUAAAGAGUAGUUAAAUUUGUCAUACUUUUUUUGUCAUACUUAUUACAUAAUGCCUCUACCACUAAAGCAAGAUUUCGAUUGUACUUACUUUUUAAAUUGUCAGUUUUCUGUUUUUAUGUAGUUUGCCUCACCAAAAUCCCUAAGUCACAUCUUCUGUGAAAAUUUAACAAGAAUGUAGUUCAAUAUUGGAUUCAAGCUCUUAGGUAAACAUGAGAGUUUAUACAAGGAUACCAUUGUAGUCACUCACCCACUAACUAUAAUUCUUUAAAAUUCAGAUGUAAAUUCAAUGAAAAUCAGGGCCCUCUUUGUGAUGGCACAGCAGGUGGUUUCAGGCAGGAGGCCAUGCAAUUGCUAGACAGAGGACUAAGUCUUCCCAUUCCCUUACUGCUCCCUGUAAAGAUGUUACGGAGCUUCACAAGUGUCCUCUGCAGUCCUACACUGAACAACAUUUUGGGACCGACUUCAUCAGUGGUGAGCCUUGACCUUUAACUCUUAGUCCUCUGUCUAGUAAGCAGCAAUGUCUGAAUGCAGGCAACAUUUUGUAUAAUGGAAAUAUUUAACUGCUUUGUACUCUAAUUUCUACUUGGAAUUUAUCCUUUUUUUUUUUUUUUGAGGACUGCUUAGUGCAUAGAUUUCUGACAUUUAAAAAAUCAGUUGGAAUUGUGUUAAAACACAGUUUUUAGUUGCACGUUCUACUUACAGAAAACUGUGGUACUGUUGUAAAGGGAUCGAAAAAAGGAUUAGAUGUAUCAGCAGGGAAUGUCUUUAUCUUUAAAAAAGAUAAAGAAAAAGAUGUUACUUUCAGAGCAUAAAAAUGCAAAAGAAAAAAAAAAGCAGCAAAGCAUUGCAACUACAGUGACAUAUCCAACAAAUCAGAGCAGUUCAGCAGUGCUUGGACCAGACCCAAAAAAGACCCCUCCAAAAAUGCAUACAGAAACCUGAUGAUGAAUAGUCAAAGCAUAAAUAUGAAAACUUGAUAAAUUAAUUUUACCAUGUAAUUAAAUCUGUUGAGCAAAUACAGAGCUGGUUGCAUACAAUAUAUCUUCCAAUUCUGUCACCAGAAUUAUUAUUAUUCCUUCCUUCAGCCAGCACUACAUUUUAAGAUAUGCAAUAUGAAGUGCAGGAGCAAAUUUUGUUGUGCAGGAACUUUGUCUAAAGAACUUGUGCUUUAAAUAUUUUAGAAUUCCAAAUUCUCACUUACACAGUUGCUGCCAAAGACAAACAAUCACACAAGAUGGGAUCAAAAGGAAAUCAUAUAUUAAAAAACCAUGGGGACAGCUGUUUGUUUCAGGCAGCUACAAGGCCCUGUGUUGAGAGGAAGGCUGUGGAUAAAGGAUGACCCUUGGAGGUUUUUUGAAAAGUGCAUGAAGACAAAGAGGAGAGAGACCAACACAUCCAUCUGCCGAGAGGGCUUGGUCCAUGAGGAUAGUCACUGGUGUGACCAGACCCUGCUGGAAGUCACUUCUGCCUUUAAAGUAGUUUCAAACAUCAGCUGAAAUUAAAAAUAUAUCAAAAGCAGCAACAAUCUCUGUCCCACUUCAUUGUGAAUGCUGUUUCUCAUUAUUUUCCUUUUUAGAAUGCAGACAUUAUUCAUUCAUUCGGAGAGGACAAAAUAGCAGAUAAACAUAUGAGUUUUGAACUGCACUUCAUGCUUUCCCUUUGGAAAAUCAUAUUUUUCACUGUAAAGGUGUGUUUUUCACUUUAUUACAGGAACUGCUGUGCAUUGGUUUGUUAUGCAUGUCUCCAAUCAUAAUUUACAAACUACAGCUACGCAACUGUUGUUUAAUAAUAAGGAAAGCUACCCUGAGGGCCCUGAGUCCCUGUAGGCCAAAGAAAAACCUGGAAUUAUGACAUCAAAUAUAAUUAAGUAAAUGUACAGUGUUUAUUUUGCAAAUAAAAUAGCAGUAACAUAAUGGCUUAUAAGAGUACCAAGGGAAAUUAACAGCUAUCUGUGGGCUUGCUUCUGCAAACAUGUGGAAUUCAGCUGAGCAUUAAUUGUCAGGCUUCUUACACAUGAGGAGUAUGGAUAGCAAAGAUACAGUCAAGCAUGUAAAUAAUUUUUUAACAGAAUAAAGGUGUUUGUAAAUCA